UGCGUGGGUUCUCGGCCCGCCACGGCGUGGGGUUUGCGCCCUUCGCUGCUGUGGUUCUCGGGGCUUGUGCGCCCAAGUGUGAAGUUGGCGCCGCGUGUGAGGCGAGCCGUGUGUGCCUGUGUGUGAGGGAGCUAUGUCGGGACCGCGGAUGUGUAUCGCUGCGUGACCCACGCGAAGGAAACAAUGGAGCCAUUGGGAAGCCGGGAGUGGCCCUGCCUUACCAGCUCUCUGCCCAUCUCUCAGUGUGGACCCUAAAGGGGGAGGAAAGGAUGCCUUCUGCACGGGGGAAAUCCAAAUCCAAGGCACCUAUAACAUUUGGGGACUUAGCCAUCUACUUCUCCCAGGAGGAGUGGGAAUGGCUGAGCCCCAUUCAGAAGGAUUUGUAUGAAGAUGUCAUGUUGGAGAAUUACCGGAACCUGGUCUCGCUUGGUCUUUCCUUUCGGAGACCAAAUGUGAUCACCUUAUUGGAGAAAGGGAAAGCACCCUGGAUGGUAGAGCCAGUAAGAAGACGCCGGGCUCCUG
rnacentral:lncRNA from 1 species